GCUCAGAGGUUAAAGCAUCCGCCUGGAAUGCAGGAGACCCAGGUUCGAUCCCUGG
rnacentral:tRNA from 1 species